rnacentral:rRNA from 1 species
UUGACCUCGGAUCAGGUAGGAAUACCCGCUGAACUUAAGCAUAUCAAUAAGCGGAGGAAAAGAAACCAACAGGGAUUGCCCUAGUAACGGCGAGUGAAGCGGCAACAGCUCAAAUUUGAAAUCUGGCUUCGGCCCGAGUUGUAAUUUGUAGAGGAAACUUUUGGUGAGGCACCUUCUGAGUCCCUUGGAACAGGGCGCCAUAGAGGGUGAGAGCCCCGUAUAGUCGGAUGCCGAUCCAAUGUAAAGUUCCUUCGACGAGUCGAGUAGUUUGGGAAUGCUGCUCAAAAUGGGAGGUAAAUUUCUUCUAAAGCUAAAUAUAGGCCAGAGACCGAUAGCGCACAAGUAGAGUGAUCGAAAGAUGAAAAGCACUUUGAAAAGAGGGUUAAAUAGCACGUGAAAUUGUUGAAAGGGAAGCGUUUGUGACCAGACUUGCGCCGUUCCGAUCAUCCGGUGUUCUCACCGGUGCACUCGGGGCGGCUCAGGCCAGCAUCGGUUUUGGUGGGGGGAUAAAGGUCCAGGGAACGUAGCUCCUCCGGGAGUGUUAUAGCCCUGGGCGUAAUGCCCUCGCUGGGACCGAGGUUCGCGCAUCUGCAAGGAUGCUGGCGUAAUGGUCAUCAACGACCCG